AUGGCUGCUGGUGUUGAAGACCAGAGGGUGGUUGUUGGUAUUGAGCAUCUACUGCAUAUGAAUAUUGAUGAUAAGGCACAUGAGACGGAGUUUCUGGAGCUUGAUGUGAUGACAACGACUAGCUUAGGUGGAGGGCGCCGAUUUCGUGAUGGUUUGAAAUGUGGAAACAAGGGCUGCAUCGGGGGACAGAUGAUCCAUGACGGUGUGACUGAAUCUCAAUCGGAGCAAGGUUGUCAAGCGGGUUCAUUGUCAGAGGUAGGUUGGCAAUGA